UGCAAAUNGCCAGUCGGUGGAUGCCAAAGC
rnacentral:piRNA from 1 species